rnacentral:rRNA from 1 species
AGUGAACGCUGGCGGUAGGCCUGACACAUGCAAGUCGAACGGCAGCACAGUAAGAGCUUGCUCUUACGGGUGGCGAGUGGCGGACGGGUGAGGAAUACAUCGGAAUCUACUUUUUCGUGGGGGAUAACGUAGGGAAACUUACGCUAAUACCGCAUACGACCUACGGGUGAAAGCAGGGGAUCUUCGGACCUUGCGCGAUUGAAUGAGCCGAUGUCGGAUUAGCUAGUUGGCGGGGUAAAGGCCCACCAAGGCGACGAUCCGUAGCUGGUCUGAGAGGAUGAUCAGCCACACUGGAACUGAGACACGGUCCAGACUCCUACGGGAGGCAGCAGUGGGGAAUAUUGGACAAUGGGCGAAAGCCUGAUCCAGCCAUACCGCGUGGGUGAAGAAGGCCUUCGGGUUGUAAAGCCCUUUUGUUGGGAAAGAAAAGCAGCAGGUUAAUACCCCGCUGUUCUGACGGUACCCAAAGAAUAAGCACCGGCUAACUUCGUG